UUUCCACUCCUACCAGAACUGUGGGGGAGGGCUCCCCGGGAGAUCACAAGGUAACCCACUGGACAAAGGAGCGUGCUUGCAUGGCCACCGUGGCUCAGCCCCACUCAGGCACCGAAGGUACGAAGGGGAAGGAGCAGGCCCAGAAUACAGACAGGGGAUGCACACAGCACACUGAAGUUAGACCUGUGUUGGGAGGCGAGGUGAUGACCCCCUGCCCUUCCUGCCCGAUCCAUCCGUGCAUUUCCUGGGCACCUCUGUUUUCCAUGUGUUUCUCUCCCAGGAUACACCUGCUUUGUAAGCAGAUAUUCCAGAGCUUGCUCAUCAUGUUGCCUGGAAUCCCCGGGCUCCCCAGCUGGUAUCACAUGCUCACCUCACUGGUUCUCUCUGUCAGAGCGUCCUUGGGGGGCCUCCUGGGCUGUUUAAGGUGGCAUGUUCUUUAGAAUAUGCUGUGUACUGUAAAUGCUCUGGGGGCACUUGUGAUUUUUUGGAAAGCACCACAAGUAGGUCCAAGCCAAAUCUGAUGAAGAGGAUAGAUCAAGGUGCAUAAUCAUGUUUUAAUCAAAGUAGAAUGGAGAGUGAUGGUUAGGCGGGGUUCACAAACUUCACGGAAGCUGUGAGUUCUUUCAGAACCCUGAGGUGCUGGAGCCAGCCGCUGUUCUUGGAUGUCCUCCCCGCCUCACCCCUUCGUGUGUCAAUAUCUUACCUACUUGCUUGCUUACAACUUCGCUUCUUUUUAGUCUUUCUUUUUCGGGUUCUCACAAAAAACUACCCGCAUUCCCGCAAGAACCCCUUGUGAGUCUUUGACGUUUUCUGUCUGAACCAGGAAGAAAACUGAGGGGUGGGUGAAGUGCUUUGUCCUGUUCCCAGCUUGGAUCUUAACUUUCCUUUCUCUCCACUGUCCUUGUUCCCAAAUAGAUAUACAAAAUGUAAGGUUCCUCCUGGGCCUUCCUGGCCCUGUCAGGGCUUUCAGUCCACAGCUCUGAUAAACCACUUCUGUGAACGGUUGGCUCCUUCUUGUGUGCCCCUCCCAGUUCUCUAGGCUGUGGCUGGUUUUAAUUUUGGUGAAAUAACAUAAAAUGCACCCUCAUAACUAUUUUUAAGUCUGUAAUUCAGUGGCAUUAAGUAGUUGCAUCAUUAUGUAAUCAGCACCAUCAUCUGUCCGCAGAGCGCUUCAUCUUGCAAAGCUGAAUCUCUGUCGCCAUCAAACACUGACUCCCCCAUUCCUCUGGUGACCACUUGCCCCUGGCAGCCACCCCGGUCUUCCUGCUGUCUCUGCAUUUGACUCCUGCCUCCGAUAAGUGGAAUGAUUAUUUGCUCUUUUGUGAUUGGCUUAUUUUACUUGAUGUAAUGUUGAUGUUCAUCAGUGUUGUGGCAUGUGUCAGAAUUUCCUUCCUGUUUAAGGUUGAAUAAUAUCCCACUGUGUGUCUGUUUCGUUCAUCCAUCCAACCAUCGAUGGACGCUUGGGUUGCUUCUACCUUUUGGCUCUUGUGAAUGCUGCUGCGAACACGGAUGUACAAAUCUCUUCAAGACCCUGCUUCCAGUUCUUUGGGGUUUAGACCCAAAAGUGGAAUUGUUGGAUCGUUGGCAGUUGGCAGUUCUGUUUUUCAUGUUUUGAGAAGCUGCCAUGCUAUUUUCCACAACGUCUAUACCAUGUUACAUUCCCACCAACAGCACACAAGGCUUCCGAUUUCUCCACCCCCUUGCUGAUGCUUGUUCUUUCCUCUUUUGUUCUAUAUGGCAGCCAUCGUGAUUUGAGUUAGGGAGUGUCAGAUGUUGGGGCGCUUAGGUGGCCUGCACCUACAUAGACUUAGGAACCACUUUAGAAGUGUCUCUCUGGCUUCUUCUCCGAGAGAAUACCAAAUGGCGGAUGACGCCGGUGCUGUGGGAGGGCCCGGAGGGCCGGGGGGCCCUGGAAUGGGAGGCCGCAGAGGCUUCGGCAGUGGCAUCCGGGACUGUGGUCGGGGCCGGGGUCAAGGCCGUGGAGCUCGCAGAGGCAAGGCCGAGGACAAGGAGUGGAUCUCCAUCACCAAGCUGGGCUGCCUGGUCAAGGACAUGAAGACCAAGUCCCUGGAGGAGAUCUCUCUCUGCUCCCUGCCCAUCAAGGAAUCUAGGUCAUUGAUUUCUUCCUGGGAGCAUCCCUCAAGGACGAGGUUCUGAAGAUCAUGCCUGUGCAAAAGCAGACCCGUGCUGGCCAUCGGACCAGGUUCAAGGCGUUUGUUGCCAUCGGAGAUUACAACAGGCACGUGGGCCUGGGUUUCAAGUGCUCCAAGGAGGUCGCCACUGCCGUCCGUGGGGCCAUCGUCCUGGCCAAGCUUUCCAUCGUCCCCGUGCGGCAAGGCUACUGGGGGAACAAGAUCAGCAAGCCCCACACUGUCCCAUCCCGGGUGACUGGCUGCUGUGGCCCUGUGCUGGGGUGCCUCAUCCCCGCCCCCAGAGGCACUGGCAUGGUCUCAGCCCCUGUGCCCAAGAAGCUACUGAUGCUGGCCGGUAUCGACGACUGCCACACCUCGGCCAGGGGCUGCACUGCCACCCUGGGGAACUUUGCCAAGGCUACUUUUGAUGCCAUCCCCGAGACCUACAGCUGUCUCACCCCUGACUUCUGGAAGGAGACGGUGUUCACCAAGUCUCCCUAUCAGAAAUUCACUGACCAUCUUGUGAACACCCACAACAGAGUCUCCGUGCAGAGGACCUAGGCUCCAGCUGUGGCCAUCACGUAG